CGUAAAGUGGCGCACGGGUGAGUAACACGUGGAUCAUCUACCUUUUAGUGGGGAAUACCUCUGGGAAACCGGAGACAAUACCGCAUAAGCCUGUAAAGGGAGAGCAGCAAUGCGCUGAAAGAGGAGUCCGCGGCCGAUUAGCUAGUUGGCGGGGUAAUGGCCCACCAAGGCGAAGAUCGGUAGCCGGCCUGAGAGGGCACACGGCCACACUGGCACUGAAACACGGGCCAG
rnacentral:rRNA from 1 species